rnacentral:rRNA from 1 species
UCCUUCCUUGUGUGUCAACGCCAGUUCGCGAUCGAGGAAAACUCCAGGGUCAUGGUAGCUUGUCUUCGGGUGAGUGAAUAGCCUUGGCAGAACUCAUUUGCGGACUGUUUCUUUCGUGUCCGGUUGCAGUGUCGUUGGCAUCGCGGCGAUCUUGGCUUGGCUUCUGCCACUGCUGAGUGACCCAGGUGACUUCGGCAUUUCCCUGACACAAAGACGAUGACUAAAUGGUUCUAUUCGACCCGUCUUGAAACACGACCAAGGAGUCUAACAUAUGUGCGAGUCCACGGGUGGUAAACCUGCUGGCGCAGUGAAAGCGACUGCUGGGAUCUUUGCACCAGCAACCGACCAAUCAAUUGAGAGAGGUUUGAGUAUGAGCAUAUCUGUUAGGACCCGAAAGAUGGUGAACUAUGCCUGAGAAGGGCAAACUCAGGGGAAACUCUGAUGGAGGCUCGUAGCGAUACUGACGUGCAAA